UGUUUGUGUUUUUAGUUUUGUUUGUUUGUUUAAUGUUAUUCUGUCCCCUAGAUAAUAAAGCUAUUUUUCUACGUUUCUAUUAUUUUUUUGUCUGUCAUAUGUAGGAAUUUAAACUAUCUAGAUAAGUAUAUUUUACAAAAUCCACAGAUGAUUAUACUGUAUAGUCCAUGUUUUAAAAAAUCACAACAAUAGAAUAAUUAAAAACUCUUCUGUAUGUCAAUGUAUGGGAGACUCUUUUCUCUGACAUGUUCUUUCCUACACCCAGCAAUCGCCUGAACCCGGGAGGCGGAGGUUGCUGAAUCUUUAGGAUUCAGCUCUGAUCCUAGCAUUGACAGGCGUGGAUUUCCCUCAACACGCCUCAUUUUAAUGGAAGUCCAAGGAAUCAGGGAUGGUUCGUCUUUCCCUAACACCUAGCAUAAUGCCUGUCGCAAAUUAG
rnacentral:lncRNA from 10 species